AGAGUGAACGCUGGCGGUAGGCCUAACACAUGCAAGUCGAACGGCAGCACAGUGGUAGCAAUACCAUGGGUGGCGAGUGGCGGACGGGUGAGGAAUACAUCGGAAUCUACCUUUUCGUGGGGGAUAACGUAGGGAAACUUACGCUAAUACCGCAUACGCCCUUCGGGGGAAAGCCGGGGAUCGCAAGACCUGGCGCGGAUAGAUGAGCCGAUGUCGGAUUAGCUAGUUGGUGAGGUAAUGGCUCACCAAGGCGACGAUCCGUAGCUGGUCUGAGAGGAUGAUCAGCCCACACUGGAACUGAGACACGGUCCAGACUCCUACGGGAGGCAGCAGUGGGGAA
rnacentral:rRNA from 1 species